UACGUAGGGUGCAAGCGUUGUCCGGAAUUAUUGGGCGUAAAGAGCUCGUAGGCGGUCUGUCGCGUCUGCUGUGAAAACUCAGGGCUUAACCCUGAGCUUGCAGUGGGUACGGGCAGAUUAGAGUGCGGUAGGGGGAGACUGGAAUUCCUGGUGUAGCGGUGAAAUGCGCAGAUAUCAGGAGGAACACCGGUGGCGAAGGCGGGUCUCUGGGCCGUAACUGACGCUGAGGAGCGAAAGCAUGGGGAGCGAACAGG
rnacentral:rRNA from 1 species